GAUUAACGCUGGCGGCGUGCCUAACACAUGCAAGUCGAACGAGGUAGCAAUACCUAGUGGCAGACGGGUGAGUAACACGUGGUCAACCUACCGUUGAGUGGGGGAUAACUAGCCGAAAGGUUAGCUAAUACCGCAUACGUCUCCGAGUGGCAUCACUUGGCGAUAAAAGGAGCAAUCCGCUCGAUGACGGGACCGCGUCCCAUUAGCUAGAUGGUGGGGUAACGGCCUACCANGGCUCCGAUGGGUAGCUGGUUUGAGAGAGCGACCAGCCACACUGGGACUGAGAAACGGCCCAGACUCCUACGGGAGGCAGCAGUGAGGAAUUUCCGCAAUGGCGCAAGCCUGAUGAUGCCACGCCGCGUGGA
rnacentral:rRNA from 1 species